GCUGUCAUACUUCCAAGAAAAGCUUGCACUGUCAUAAACAAAUAAUGCCUGUACCAUAACCGACACAGGUGGGUAGGUAGAGUAUACUAAGGGGCGCGAGAUAACUCUCUCUAAGGAACUCGGCAAAAUGACUCCGUAACUUCGGGAGAAGGAGUGCCUUAUUUAUAAGGUUGCAAUAACAAGAUCCAAGCAACUGUUUACCAAAAACACAGGUCUCCGCUAAGUCGUAAGACGAUGUAUGGGGGCUGACGCCUGCCCAGUGCCAGAAGGUUAAAGAAGUUGGUUAGCAUUAGCGAAGCUGAUAACUGAAGCCCUGGUGAACGGCGGCCGUAACUAUAACGGUCCUAAGGUAGCGAAAUUCCUUGUCGGGUAAGUUCCGACCCGCACGAAAGGCGUAAUGAUUUGGAUGCUGUCUCGGAGAGGGACUCGGUGAAAUAGACUUGUCUGUGAAGAUGCGGACUACCUGCACCAGGACAGAAAGACCCUAUGAAGCUUUACUGUAACUUGAAAUUGAAAUUGGACUUUAUUUGCGCAGUAUAGGUGGGAGGUGUUGAGAAUACUCUUGCGGGAAUAUUGGAGCCAUCAGUGAGAUACCACUCUUGUAAUGUUAGAUUUCUAACUUUGUAUCAUUAUCUGGUCAAAGGACAGUUUCAGGCGGGCAGUUUGACUGGGGCGGUCGCCUCCCAAACGGUAACGGAGGCGCACAAAGGUUUCCUCUGAACGGGUAGAAAUCGUAUCUAGAGUGUAAAGGCAUAAGGAAGCUUACUGUGAGACCUACAAGUCGAGCAGGGACGAAAGUCGGUCUUAGUGAUCUGACGGUGCUGAGUGGAAAGGCCGUCACUCAACGGAUAAAAGUUACUCUAGGAUAACAGGCUGAUCUCCCCCAAGAGUUCACAUCGACGGGGAGGUUUGGCACCUCGAUGUCGGCUCAUCGCAUCCUGGGCGGUAGUACGUCCCAAGGGUUGGGCUGUUCGCCCAUGAAAGCGGUACGCGAGCUGGGUUCAGAACGUCGUGAGACAGUUCGGUCCAUAUCCGGUGUAGGCGUUAGAAUAUUGAGAGGAGCCUUCUUUAGUACGAGAGGACCGAGAAGGACAUACCUCUGGUGUACCAGUUAUCGUGCCAACGGUAAACGCUGGGUAGCUAUGUAUGGAGAGGAUAACCGCUGAAAGCAUCUAAGUGGGAAGCCCACCUCAAGAUAAGUAUUUUC
rnacentral:rRNA from 1 species